AUAGAAAAAAGCCAGAUUAAUCCACCCGCUAGGUGAUGAUGGCCUUUCUCGUGCAUUAUAAAAUGUAUAUCAAAAAUAUCCCAUUAGGCUUUCUGGGAAGCGUGUACACACACGCACAUUUUACUCACACUUUUACUCAAUUUGUUUGCAACCACGAGCAGUUGUCACGGAAAAAUCAAAUGGGAUUGUUUGCCACCAUGAACCGUGCGUUCGUGUUGAUAAGAAAUGUCGGCGAGACCCCAAUUGAAAUGGUCAGGAAAGCGAUAUUUCAAUAUUUCCAAAUAUCAAACAGAACCAAAUUGCACAACUUUUUGGAUUUUUUUGUUUCCAAUUUUUAAAAAUAGUGAAGAGUUGAAAAAAUAUAAAUUUUUGGUGGGAAAAUUACCUUCAGACAGAUGGAAGUUUCAAUUAAGCUAAAGGUAGUAAGCUAAAGGUACUAAUAUAGGAAAGUGUCUAAAAAGUUAAUAAGUGAGAGAUUUUUUUUAACUUUUAAUUCAAUUCCUAUAACUGCUUGUUAUGUAUCCACCAAAUCGCAUGAUAGUUUAAAAAUCUGCAUGCCAAAUCUUGAAUGAUUCCAUUACAAAACGAAUAAACAGGAUGUUUUUUUCGGUAAAAACUAGGCGGUAUCGAUAUUUGUAGUCUCCUUAAAAAUAAAUUUUAAUUACGCCUUUAUGAUACUCAGUGCCAGAUACGCUUCGAAUCGAAGCGAAGCGUUCAUUAAAAGCAGUGCUUUUUGAACAUUAAAAAUGAACAGUAGUAGGCUACGAAAUUUUGACUUGACCGAACAAACCAAAAUUUUCAAUCAUUCUCAUUUGAACCUUCUUGGAGCACAGUACAUUAAAAACCAAACCAAACCAAAUUCCAAAUUCAAAGCUAGCGAACUUAAAAAUUUUAACCACCUUUUCCAAAAAUGAAGCCAGAGCAACGACCACCCCAUGAUGGCCAACGUAAUGACCAGGAUCAGCCACUAGACGCUAUGGGCCGUCGCCGUCGUCGUGGAGGUCGAAGCCGUUCUCGCUCGCGGAGCCGUGCCCGUUCCUCCCCCAGGCGCCGUUCUACGUCCCGUCGACGCCGUAGCAGCAGUCGCCGUCGCCAUUAAAAUUGCAUUGGGUGCAAAAUAGUCGUUGAAUAAUAAACGAGUCCCAAAUUUGAAAA